rnacentral:rRNA from 1 species
GUAUGUCUAAACGACUCUCGGCAACGGAUAUCUCGGCUCUCGCAUCGAUGAAGAACGUAGCGAAAUGCGAUACUUGGUGUGAAUUGCAGAAUCCCGUGAACCAUCGAGUCUUUGAACGCAAGUUGCGCCCGAAGCCGUUAGGCCGAGGGCACGUCUGCCUGGGCGUCACACGCCGUUGCCCCCCGACCCCUCCGGGGGCCGGACGGGACGGAUGA